rnacentral:rRNA from 1 species
CCUACGGGAGGCUGCAGUGGGGAAUAUUGGACAAUGGGGGCAACCCUGAUCCAGCCAUGCCGCGUGUGUGAAGAAGGCCCUCGGGUUGUAAAGCACUUUCAGUGAGGAAGAACGCCUGGUGGUUAAUACCCAUCAGGAAAGACAUCACUCACAGAAGAAGCACCGGCUAACUCCGUGCCAGCAGCCGCGGUAAUACGGAGGGUGCGAGCGUUAAUCGGGAUUACUGGGCGUAAAGCGCGCGUAGGUGGCUUGAUAAGCCGGUUGUGAAAGCCCCGGGCUCAACCUGGGAACGGCAUCCGGAACUGUCAAGCUAGAGUGCAGGAGAGGAAGGUAGAAUUCCCGGUGUAGCGGUGAAAUGCGUAGAGAUCGGGAGGAAUACCAGUGGCGAAGGCGGCCUUCUGGACUGACACUGACACUGAGGUGCGAAAGCGUGGGUAGCAAACAGGAUUAGAUACCCCAGUAGUC